rnacentral:rRNA from 1 species
UACGGAAGGCAGCACUGGGGAAUAUUGCACAAUGGGCGCAAGCCUGAUGCAGCCAUGCCGCGUGUAUGAAAAAGGCCUUCGGGUUGUAAAGUACUUUCAGUCGUGAGGAAGGUGUUAAGGUUAAUAACCUUAGCAAUUGACGUUAGCGACAGAAGAAGCACCGGCUAACUCCGUGCCAGCAGCCGCGGUAAUACGGAGGGUGCGAGCGUUAAUCGGAAUUACUGGGCGUAAAGGGCACGCAGGCGGUUAAUUAAGUUGGAUGUGAAAUCCCCGGGCUUAACCUGGGAAUGGCAUUCAAGACUGGUUAGCUAGAGUCUUGUAGAGGGGGUAGAAUUCCGAUGUGUAGCGGUGAAAUGCGUAGAGAUGUGGAGGAAUACCGGUGGCGAAGGCGGCCCCUGGACAAAGGACUGACGCUCAUGUGCGAAAGCGUGGGGAGCAAACGAGGGAUUAGAUAC